AAACAGAAUCUGUGUUGGCGUGCAGGGAGCAGGCAGCGUCUGCAAAGUAGCGCUGGCAACCACAACAGAGAGGCCAGCAACAGGAGGAGCAGGAGGAGCUAGCCAAUGAAGCGUGCUGUGGAGGACAAAGAGCAGCAGAGGCAGGAAGCAGUGACAAGGAGUGAGCUGGGAAAUUCCAGCUGCCCUCCUGUCCUACUUACAAGGAAUAGCCUGGAACAAGUACAGUUGACUCUGAACAAGUCAGGUUUGAACUGCAUGGGUCCACUCAUAUGAAGAUUUCUUUCAACGAAAGCUACCCCGAGUGUGCCUGCCUUUCCUGCCUCCCCUUCCACCUCCUGCACCUCUACCAUCCCUGCCACCCCUAAGACAGCAAGGCCAGUCUCUUCUCUCUCCCCCUCCUCCUUCAGCCUAUUCAACUUGAAGAUGACAAGGAUGAAGAGCUUUAUGAUGAUCUACUUCCCCUUAAUGAACAGUAAAUAUAUUUUUUCUUCCUUACAAUUUUCUUAAUAGCAUUUUCUUUUCUCUAGCUUACCUUAUUGUAAGAAUACAGUGUAUAAUACAUAAAACAUACAAAAUAUGUGUUAAUAAACUGUUUAUGUUAUUGGUAAAGCAUCUGGUCAACA
rnacentral:lncRNA from 1 species